GAGUAAUGCCUAGGAAAUUGCCCUGAUGUGGGGGAUAACCAUUGGAAACGAUGGCUAAUACCGCAUGAUGCCUACGGGCCAAAGAGGGGGACCUUCGGGCCUCUCGCGUCAGGAUAUGCCUAGGUGGGAUUAGCUAGUUGGUGAGGUAAGGGCUCACCAAGGCGACGAUCCCUAGCUGGUCUGAGAGGAUGAUCAGCCACACUGGAACUGAGACACGGUCCAGACUCCUACGGGAGGCAGCAGUGGGGAAUAUUGCACAAUGGGCGCAAGCCUGAUGCAGCCAUGCCGCGUGUGUGAAGAAGGCCUUCGGGUUGUAAAGCACUUUCAGUCGUGAGGAAGGUAGUGUAGUUAAUAGCUGCAUUAUUUGACGUUAGCGACAGAAGAAGCACCGGCUAACUCCGUGCCAGCAGCCGCGGUAAUACGGAGGGUGCGAGCGUUAAUCGGAAUUACUGGGCGUAAAGCGCAUGCAGGUGGUUUGUUAAGUCAGAUGUGAAAGCCCGGGGCUCAACCUCGGAAUUGCAUUUGAAACUGGCAGACUAGAGUACUGUAGAGGGGGGUAGAAUUUCAGGUGUAGCGGUGAAAUGCGUAGAGAUCUGAAGGAAUACCGGUGGCGAAGGCGGCCCCCUGGACAGAUACUGACACUCAGAUGCGAAAGCGUGGGGAGCAAACAGGAUUAGAUACCCUGGUAGUCCACGCCGUAAACGAUGUCUACUUGGAGGUUGUGGCCUUGAGCCGUGGCUUUCGGAGCUAACGCGUUAAGUAGACCGCCUGGGGAGUACGGUCGCAAGAUUAAAACUCAAAUGAAUUGACGGGGGCCCGCACAAGCGGUGGAGCAUGUGGUUUAAUUCGAUGCAACGCGAAGAACCUUACCUACUCUUGACAUCCAGAGAACUUUCCAGAGAUGGAUUGGUGCCUUCGGGAACUCUGAGACAGGUGCUGCAUGGCUGUCGUCAGCUCGUGUUGUGAAAUGUUGGGUUAAGUCCCGCAACGAGCGCAACCCUUAUCCUUGUUUGCCAGCGAGUAAUGUCGGGAACUCCAGGGAGACUGCCGGUGAUAAACCGGAGGAAGGUGGGGACGACGUCAAGUCAUCAUGGCCCUUACGAGUAGGGCUACACACGUGCUACAAUGGCGCAUACAGAGGGCAGCCAACUUGCGAAAGUGAGCGAAUCCCAAAAAGUGCGUCGUAGUCCGGAUUGGAGUCUGCAACUCGACUCCAUGAAGUCGGAAUCGCUAGUAAUCGUGGAUCAGAAUGCCACGGUGAAUACGUUCCCGGGCCUUGUACACACCGCCCGUCACACCAUGGGAGUGGGCUGCAAAAGAAGUAGGUAGUUUAACCUUCGGGGGGACGCUUACCACUUUGUGGUUCAUGACUGGGGUGAAGUCGUAACAAGGUAGCGCUAGGGGAACCUGGCGCUGGAUCACCUCCUUAAACGAUGAU
rnacentral:rRNA from 1 species